UGGCGAACGGGUGAGUAACACGUGGGUAACCUGCCCAUCAGAAGGGGAUAACGCUUGGAAACAGGUGCUAAUACCGUAUAACAAUCAAAACCGCAUGGUUUUGAUUUGAAGGGCGCUUUCGGGUGUCGCUGAUGGAUGGACCCGCGGUGCAUUAGCUAGUUGGUGAGGUAACGGCUCACCAAGGCCACGAUGCAUAGCCGACCUGAGAGGGUGAUCGGCCACAUUGGGACUGAGACACGGCCCAAACUCCUACGGGAGGCAGCAGUAGGGAAUCUUCGGCAAUGGACGAAAGUCUGACCGAGCAACGCCGCGUGAGUGAAGAAGGUUUUCGGAUCGUAAAACUCUGUUGUUAGAGAAGAACAAGGAUGAGAGUAACUGUUCAUCCCUUGACGGUAUCUAACCAGAAAGCCACGGCUAACUACGUGCCAGCAGCCGCGGUAAUACGUAGGUGGCAAGCGUUGUCCGGAUUUAUUGGGCGUAAAGCGAGCGCAGGCGGUUUCUUAAGUCUGAUGUGAAAGCCCCCGGCUCAACCGGGGAGGGUCAUUGGAAACUGGGAGACUUGAGUGCAGAAGAGGAGAGUGGAAUUCCAUGUGUAGCGGUGAAAUGCGUAGAUAUAUGGAGGAACACCAGUGGCGAAGGCGGCUCUCUGGU
rnacentral:rRNA from 1 species